ACUGCAUAAAAACCAGCAAUUCUACAUUAAUCGCAUAAUUUAGAAGGAUCAUUAACAAAGAAUGUCAUUUUGGAUUUCAUAUUCCGGCAUUCUUGAAAAUAUUUUGAGAAAUUGUUCAUAUUAUUUUUAAUUUUUGUAUCAAAUUUUUCCAUUAUAAUCCUUGGGCAAUAAAUCAAAGUAACAAUUUAACUAAAUAAAAUUCAAACAAUCAAAAUCAAUGAAUGGAUAAAUUAAAUCUCUGCUAUGAUCGCAAAAAAAAAUUAAAAUUCCAAUUAUACUUUUCGAUGAUCCAUAUUAAAUGCAAAAAAACCUUACGAUUUUCACCACCAUCGCUUCUUGCAUCCUUUCGGAAUGGCAAACAGCCGAUCACGCACCACGCACUACACUAGACUGAUAUAUGUUGACAUGCACCUCUCCUGAGAGACGUAAACACUGGUAAACACCUUUUGGCACUUCCAUGACCAGUUUUGCCUUUGCCGAGAGUGAUAUUUAUAAUUAUGCAUAAAAACUCAUUUGAUAAUUACUUCGAGUUUGUAGCCGCAGCAGGAAUCGAAGCCGGACCGGAAAGGGGACUGAACGAGCCGCAUGUUCUCCUGAUCACAUUUGCAAUAAAACUGGCACCGCGAGAAAGACUAGAGUUGCAAUUGCAAGCAGUUCCUGCUCACCUUAAGAUAAAUAUAAAUGCACCUGAGCUGGUGCAGCGACCUUGGCGAUAAAAGCGGAAGAGGUUUUUUUAUCGUUUAAUCGACGGGAAAAUCCGAGAGUCGGAGACGUGCGAUUUUUCCAGGGAUGAGUCAAGGAGGUUCAUCCGCGAGAUGAUCAAUAUAAAUAAGGAAUAAUGGAGCAAUAAAGCAAUGCAGUCGUCAGAUAUGACGGAAGUAAGAUUAAUAUAAGGAGGCAAAUAUUGGCACUAGUUUCGCAAGCAAAACAAAACUUGAGCUGCCGACGUUUUGCGUUUCCAGAACCGGAGACACACUCGGCGAACUGCUGACGAAGAGUGCAGACCGAGAAUUAUAUCACGCCCGACCGACACACAAGGUCACGGGACAUCAAAUGUUUUAAAUUAAUUUAUCUUCCUGCGCCACGCGGCUCGGAAGCUUAUCAUUAAUUGAGGUCACCGCGCGACAUUUCGGCACGCGCUCGUCUAAUUUUUUCCAGAAA